UCCUGCCUCUGUCUUCAGUUUCAUGAAGCAGCCACACGAGGGCGCUCUUUAACCUGUUAUUGCACUGAAAUGUUGGAGUGACCCAAACUGAACUGUCUCUGCACCUUUUCUACUCCUGAAUAAACUCUGAGGAGACGACCCGGUCUGGAUGAUCCUGAAGAGUCCUGAGUCAGAUCUGGACCGGCCUGAUCCUCUGAUGGUGAGGCUGUCAUCCUCACUGUGGUCUGAUUAUUGAUUAUUGAUUAUUGUGAUUAUUUCACUCCAUGUAAACCAAACUCCCUGUUCUUCUAAUGUUUUUCUCCUUCCACCAACAGAACAAUCAUAC